AUUGAACGCUGGCGGCAGGCCUAACACAUGCAAGUCGACCGAGCGGCGGACGGGUGAGUAAUGUAUGGGAAACUGCCUGAUGGAGGGGGAUAACUACUGGAAACGGUAGCUAAUACCGCAUACCAUCAGAUGUACCCAGAUGGGAUUAGCUUGUUGGUGGGGUAAAGGCUCACCUAGGCGACGAUCCCUAGCUGGUCUGAGAGGAUGACCAUCCACACGGGAACUGAGACACGGCCCAGACGCCUACGGGAGGCAGCAGUGGGGAAUAUUGCACAAUGGGCGCAAGCCUGAUGCAGCCAUGCCGCGUGUAUGAAGAAGGCCUUCGGGUUGUAAAGUACUUUCAGCGGGGAGGCGUUACCCGCAGAAGAAGCACCGGCUAACUCCGUGCCAGCCGCCGCGGUAAUAC
rnacentral:rRNA from 1 species